UCAGCGGUCCUCUGGUACCCCCUACCCCCACUCCCCUACUUCCCUCCACCACUACUCUUGAAUUCACUUUUCAUAAAUUUUUGUCAAUCGGUCACAAGAACUGAGGAAAAGACCAAAAUAACUGAAGGGAUGGGUUGGUGGUAAGAUGACUAGCUACGUAGUUCUUGACUUACUGACGUGAAUACUUGAAUAAGUGGUCCUCCAGUACCCCCAUCUCCUUGGCUUAACUUUUCUCUACUAGCAAGUCAAUUGGUACGCGGAGAGUACAAGAACUGAACGGAAGGGAUGAGUAGCUGGUGAAACAACUGCAUUUACUUAACUCUUGACUUGUGAGUAUCAGAGGCUAGAAUCAAGCCGGGAUACUCCAACUGAGAAGUGCGUGAAGUUUUCAACAAAGUUUGCGGGAGAAGGAUAGUUCCUCGAAAUUUGGUGCAAAGAAAAAUUCAGCAGAGGUAUUUUGACGACAACAGCAUGGUUUUAUGCGAGAUAUUUUUCGUGGGAACCUUGGCGGCCUUCACGUUCCUUCAGAUCUAUCUAUACAAGAAAUUUUGCGUUGGAUCAGGCCGUACUCUCGGGAACAGUGAAACCACAUACCGCGUUCCCGGAGGAUACUACUUGGUGAAAUUUUAUCCGGAACAAAAGAUGUAUUAGGAAAGAAAAGCUUUGAGUGCUUGUGCUCAACUGAAAGAAACUGAACUUGUUGCAUUUUCUGAAUUAUAAGAACUCGAAACUAAAAAACUGAAAAUUUCAUUAUAGUAUAUUUUAGAAAUUGAGUACUUCGUAGGGUUUUAAAUUAGGGAACCCGUUACAUGAGCUUCGUAGCAGAGAGAGGAGCUGUAGCCAAACUGGAUUGAUUUACCAAAAUCGCCUUUAAGAAGCAUGUUUUUUCUCGAAACGGGACUGAAAUAUUUUACGUAAUCUUGGUUCGCUCCAUAAGGCAGUAUUUGAUAUAAAUUUGCCCCUAUAUCGGUAUAAUCAUGAUUAUAGCACGGUUAUGAGUUUGAAAGCGGUGUUGGUUGUUUAAAAUAAACAUACUACAUUAUUAAAGUCGGAGAGGCGUAAUUUAUCUGUUGUACUUAAGGAAUUGAUUUUUGCUUCCGUAUUCUGUUUAUAGAUUUGGAUUUUUGUCGUAUCUAGUUAUACUGUAUUUCACUUAUACGUAGGAGAAUAAAAA